AUAUCACUGACCAACAUGCUGAACAAACACCUGAAAUAACUCCUGAAACACCUCAAGUGAGAAAAUCUGAGAGAUUAAAGCGACCCCCAGGACGGUUUCAUUAUCCCCAGUUGGGUCAACCCCUUAUAUCCUUUGCACAACGAUUUCUGGAUAACUUUAACCAAGCUCUUGAGUCGUUUAGUAGCUAUGAAAACACUCAAAUCUAUGAUGUUUAGAUACAUUUUAAGUACAUGAAGGGACUCAUGUUUAUUCAAAGGGGGAGGGUGUAACCCCUAUAGACAUGGUUACUAGUAUUUUCUUGUUUUUACCUGGUAAUAUUAUUUCCGACACCCCUUGAACACACUUUGAUUUUCCGUAGUUCAGUGAAUGCAACAAAAGCACGUUGCUGCAUUAAGCUAGGCAAAACGGAGCAAGACACCGAGAGCAAAUAACAAGCUACACAAGGCCUUUAUGUGUUUUACUCUCGACCAAAACCAGGCAGAGCGUGUAUUUGUUUCUUGGGAAUUCCGACUGGUUUUUUGUGAUCCUGGAUCUGAAGUGGUUCUGGAUAUGGAUGGCGAGCCAGACCCUGUGAAAACUCUUGGCGAAUCCAAAAGCAGUGUGGCCAGCUGUUCUGGAUGCAGGAGUAGAGCUACAGUCUGAAUUACUUCGAAUCGCAGGAUUUCAGAUAAGCAAGAGCAAAAACUGCUUACUUCAUACGGAUUGCUUCUCUGGGAAACUAUUGAACUCCCAAUAUCCUGCUCAUCAGGAGUCAGGUCUAAAGAGACUACUUAUUUUAUUUUAUUUUGUUGUUAUUUUCAAAAGAGCGCUCUUCUCUGUUGAUCUUCUGUUAAUUUUCUAUGCUGUUUACAUUGGAUUAUUGCACCACUGUAACAUUGUAAUAAAUCUGCCGGCUGUUCAACACUCAA